UGUUAAUUAUUUGAGAAAGAUAUAUAACUGGGAAAAUGGUUGAUCUCGGCAAAGACAGUGUUGAGGAGGGGAAGACUAAGCAUGUUCAUGGGUCCAUACGAUCUAUUUUCAUGCACGCAGACAGUGGGGAUAAGUGGCUGAUGGCUCUGGGUUUCUUAGGAGCCAUUUUUGAUGGGCUAUGUGAUCGUCUUCCGUUGCUAUUUACUAGCCACAUGAUUAACAGUAUUGGCAACGCCUCCAACUUGGGCAGGGAUGCUUUCCAGCACAAUAUCACUAAGGCCUCUCUCUAAAAAUUUUGUGUUAUUGAAUUAUAUUAUUAUUUACGUACACGAUCUCUCUUUGAUUUAUGCAUGCUAACUAUAUAAAAACAAAUUUGUGCGUGGCAGAACACAUUGCUAAUCUUAUACUUCACAACUCUGUCAUGGGCAGCUUGCUUUUUAGAAGGAUAUUGUUGGACUAGAACAAUGAAAGGCAAGCUGCGAGGAUGAGAAGCACGUUUUUGAAAGCAGUACUCCAACAAGAUUUGGGUUACUUUGACUUUCAUAGCACAUCGGAUAUUAUUACAAUCAUCUCCAAUGAUAGUCUCAUCAUUCAAGACACUAUUAGUGAAAAGGUUCCACACGUUGUGAGUAGUGUGUCCACAUUCAUAUGUGGUUACGCCGUAGCGUUUAUGUUGUCAUGGUAAAUGGCUAUGGUGGGACUCCCCUUAAUUUUACUCCUAACGGUUCCCACUUGGGUGUGUGGAAGAUCUCUAAUAGAUAUAUCAGCCCAAAUCAGAAAAGAGUACAAUAAAGCAGGCACAAUUGCAGAGCAGGCCAUAUCGUCCAUUAGAACAGUUUAUGCCGUUGUUGGAGAGAAAAAGACUACACGAGAAUUCUCAGCUGCUUUAGACAGGUCUACAAA